UACAGAGGUCCCGAGCGUUGUUCGGAUUCAUUGGGCGUAAAGGGUGCGUAGGCGGCGGGGCCAGUCUGAUGUGAAAUCCCGGGGCUCAACCCCGGAACUGCAUUGGAUACUGCCUUGCUAGAGUACUGGAGAGGGAACUGGAAUUUACGGUGUAGCAGUGAAAUGCGUAGAGAUCGUAAGGAAGGCCGGUGGCGAAGGCGGUUCUCUGGGCCUGUACUGACGCUGAGGAGCGAAAGCGUGGGGAGCGAACAGG
rnacentral:rRNA from 1 species